rnacentral:lncRNA from 1 species
GAAUAAAAUUGUUGAAAAGUUUAGAGAAACAACUUUUAAAAUAUUUUGGAAAUGUUGAAAACAUGAAAUAUAUAGUAAAUUUUUAUGAUCAUAUUUUCCAAUACUAUAUACCAUAAAAAAUAAUUAAAUUGUUCUUUAUCUGUUUUGAGUCUGUAAUCUAAAUUUCUUCAUAUUUUAACAUCUAGAAAGUUUUGAACGGCCAUCUUGAGUGUUAAACAUCACUUCUUUUCAUUUUUUACCUG